CAGAGAUAGCCAGCCUUCAACUUCAAAACUUUACAUAAAGAAAAGCACCCACAGAAUUGCAUUAAAAAGGCAGGACAGGAGAGGGUGAAAAUUUUUAGCAGGUUAAGCUUCAAUAUAUUGCCGGCCGCCUAAGAUCCACCAAUAGCCAAGACAACAAUUAAAUUAAACCACAUAAAGUGAAUGGCAUAAGGAUUGCAGCCAACGAAAAAAACAUGAAGAGUUGUGCUCCUAAUAUAGUCAGAAACAGCUGGAAAAUGCUGCAGCUGACAUGAUUUUGAAAAAUUCAACUUCCUCAGAACGAAAUCAAGAAGGCUGAGAUUUACAAAAAUAAUUAAUUAACACAAUAGCUCUGAAACAGUAGACUUGAACAGACAAAAAAAAUUUAACAAGUUAUGCGACUCAAAUGAAGACGAAGAAAGCAAGACCAAGGGGGGAAUUAAACCAAUGAAAGUUGGUCAAUGUUAAAUAGGUCUAGUUUUUGACACGUAAUUUGUAAAAUUUUGAGAAGCAUUCAAAGUGGAGAGAAAGCAGUUAAAAGGCCCACAUAUCUAUUCCAAGUUUACUGGAAUUGCACAAAACUUGUAAUUAAG
rnacentral:misc_RNA from 1 species